rnacentral:tRNA from 2 species
GGGGCUAUAGCUCAGUGGCAGAGCGCUUGCCUAGCAUGUAUGAGGCACUGGGUUCAAUCCUUAGCACCA